rnacentral:rRNA from 1 species
UACGGAGGGUGCAAGCGUUGUCCGGAAUUAUUGGGCGUAAAGCGCGCGCAGGCGGUCCUUUAAGUCUGAUGUGAAAGCCCACGGCUCAACCGUGGAGGGUCAUUGGAAACUGGGGGGACUUGAGUAUAGAAGAGAAGAGUGGAAUUCCACGUGUAGCGGUGAAAUGCGUAGAGAUGUGGAGGAACACCAGUGGCGAAGGCGACUCUUUGGUCUGUAACUGACGCUGAGGCGCGAAAGCGUGGGGAGCAAACAGG